AGUGAACGCUGGCGGUAGGCCUAACACAUGCAAGUCGAACGGCAGCACAGUAAGAGCUUGCUCUUACGGGUGGCGAGUGGCGGACGGGUGAGGAAUACAUCGGAAUCUACUUUUUCGUGGGGGCUAACGUAGGGAAACUUACGCUAAUACCGCAUACGACCUACGGGUGAAAGCACGGGAUCUUCGGACCUUGCGCGAUUGAAUGAGCCGAUGUCGGAUUAGCUAGUUGGCGGGGUAAAGGCCCACCAAGGCGACGAUCCGUAGCUGGUCUGAGAGGAAGAUCAGCCACACUGGAACUGAGACACGGUCCAGACUCCUACGGGAGGCAGCAGUGGGGAAUAUUGGACAAUGGGCGCAAGCCUGAUCCAGCCAUACCGCGUGGGUGAAGAAGGCCUUCGGGUUGUAAAGCCCUUUUGUUGGGAAAGAAAAGCAGCAGGUUAAUACCCCGCUGUUCUGACGGUACCCAAAGAAUAAGCACCGGCUAACUUCGUG
rnacentral:rRNA from 1 species